rnacentral:lncRNA from 1 species
CUAAACUUUGUGUAUAUUGAGUAGGGACUGCUGUUUGAUUACUUGAUAAUUUCUUGGUUGACUGAGUUGAUAUUAGUUAUGUUUUUGGCUUGUUAUAAAGUGAAUUGAUUGUGAUGUGUUGUGAAGUGAAAUGAUUGUGAUUAAGGAUUGAUGACUUUUGUAUGGAUAUUGUGUGAUCGGGAAAGCUGAGUCGGGCGGAUAGCUACCCGAGUAUGUGAGAUGGCAAGACUGAGCCGGGCGGAUAGUCUUGUCAAGUGGUUACUGAAAUUUAAAAAUGUGAGGAAAUGUAAGGAUGAGUCAUCUGAUCCUAAUUUGAUAGAAAU